rnacentral:rRNA from 1 species
CCUUCCCACCUAAACAAGCCAACCAAAAUUCCCAUGUAAUGGACUAGGAGCCACUUAAAGGAGGUACAGCUCCUUUAACAAAGAACACAACCUCCACCAGCGGAUAAGACUCCACCCACUAUACUACCUGUAGGCCUUAAAGCAGCCACCACCAAAGAGUGCGUCAAAGCUCCAAACCAAAAAUCCAAAAACAACACGAAUCCCUACUCCCCAAACAGGCCAAUCUAUAACAAUAGAUGAAUUAAUGCUAAAACGAGUAACUAGGAUACCACAUCCCCUUAAGCGCCAGCUCACACACCAUUAACAGCACAACCACAAUACCACCACUCGACUAAACAUUGCAUACACCCUGUCAACCCAACACCAGGAGCGCACACUAGGACGAUCAAAACCUGCAAAAGGAACUCGGCAAACCCAAGGCCCGACUGUUUACCAAAAACAUAGCCUUCAGCCAAACAAGUAUUGAAGGUGAUGCCUGCCCAGUGACACUACGUUCAACGGCCGCGGUAUCCUAACCGUGCAAAGGUAGCGCAAUCAAUUGUCCCAUAAAUCGAGACUUGUAUGAACGGCUAAACGAGGCCCUAACUGUCUCUUGCAGGUAAUCAGUGAAACUGAUCCCCCUGUACAAAAGCAGGAAUAAACACAUAAGACAAGAAGACCCUGUGGAACUUCAAAAUCAAUAGCCACCACAUACUUCCCCCCAAACCCACUAGGCCCACUAUCCAAAACACUGGCUAAUAUUUUUAGGUUGGGGCGACCCUGGAGAAAAACAAACCCUCCAAAAACAAGGCCAAAUCCCUUAACCAAGAGCAACCCCUCAAAGUACUAACAGCACCCAGACCCAAUAAAAUUGACCAAUGAACCAAGCUACCCCAGGGAUAACAGCGCAAUCUCCCCCAAGAGCCCAUAUCGACGAGGAGGUUUACGACCUCGAUGUUGGAUCAGGACAUCCUAGUGGUGCAACCGCUACUAAGGGUUCGUUUGUUCAACGAUUAACAGUCCUACGUGAUCUGA